GGUACGCGCCGUGCUUCGCAGGCAGAGGAACGGGGUGGCAUGUGGUACAUGUUGGGGCUUCACAGUGGAUGCGGGUUUGCUGUUACGCACUAAAAUGUUUGAAGAACGAGUGAAUGAAUACACUUUCAGCACUUCUUCCCCUCCAUACACGUGCAGCAUCAGGAUCCUUUCAUUUUCCUUCCCAGCAUGUGUCUGAGAAUCUGAUGUCUCCUCCACUUCCCGGUGGAACCUUGAACCCCCCAUACCUUCCUGGUCCUUAGCAUUCCUCAAGUAGGAAGGUGUAAUGGUCCUUUGACCUUCCUCCAAAAAAGGUGAGUGGGGA